AAUGAAUUAUGGUCGGCAGUCAGACUGCGAGUGCUAAGAUCCGUAGUCGAAAGGGAAACAGCCCAGACCACCAGCUAAGGUCCCAAACUAAUUGUUAAGUGGAAAAGGAUGUGGGGUUGCACAGACAACUAGGCUGUUAGCUUAGAAGCAGCUAUUCAUUCAAAGAGUGCGUAAUAGCUCACUAGUCGAGUGACCCUGCGCCGAUAAUGUACCGGGGCUAAAACAAUUUACCGAAGCUGUGGUUACCUUUAUAGGUAUGGUAGGAGAGCGUUCUAUGUGUGAUGAAGGUAUACCGUGAGGAGUGCUGGAACGCAUAGAAGUGAGAAUGCCGGUAUGAGUAGCGAAAGACAGGUGAGAAUCCUGUCCACCGUAAGACUAAGGUUUCCAGGGGAAGGCUCGUCCGCCCUGGGUUAGUCGGGACCUAAGGAGAGACCGAAAGGUGUAUCCGAUGGACAACAGGUUGAUAUUCCUGUACUAGAGUAUGUAGUGAUGGAGGGACGCAG
rnacentral:rRNA from 1 species